rnacentral:rRNA from 1 species
CAGUCGAACGGUAACAGGCGAAAGCUUGCUUUUGCGCUGACGAGUGGCGGACGGGUGAGUAAUGCUUAGGAAUCUGCCCAGUAGCGGGGGACAACAACCGGAAACGGUUGCUAAUACCGCAUACGCCCUACGGGGGAAAGCAGGGGAUCUUCGGACCUUGCACUAUUGGAUGAGCCUAAGUCAGAUUAGUUUGUUGGUGGGGUAAUGGCCUACCAAGGCGACGAUCUGUAGCUGGUCUGAGAGGACGAUCAGCCACACUGGAACUGAGACACGGUCCAGACUCCUACGGGAGGCAGCAGUGGGGAAUAUUGCACAAUGGGCGCAAGCCUGAUGCAGCAAUGCCGCGUGUGUGAAGAAGGCCUGCGGGUUGUAAAGCACUUUCAGUAAGGAGGAAAAUCUCAAGGUUAAUAACCUUGAGCCUUGACGUUACUUACAGAAGAAGCACCGGCUAACUCCGUGCCAGCAGCCGCGGUAAUACGGAGGGUGCGAGCGUUAAUCGGAAUUACUGGGCGUAAAGCGUGCGUAGGCGGCAUGGUCAGUCGGAUGUGAAAGCCCCGGGCUUAACCUGGGAAUUGCAUUCGAAACUACCAAGCUAGAGUAUGCUAGAGGAAAGUGGAAUUCCCGGUGUAGCGGUGAAAUGCGUAGAUAUCGGGAGGAACAUCAAUGGCGAAGGCAGCUUUCUGGA